rnacentral:misc_RNA from 1 species
AACCAUAGAAACCUGCGGAGUACCUGCGGAAGGAUCAUUACAGAGUUGCAAAACUCCCUAAACCAUUGUGAACGUUACCUAAACCGUUGCUUCGGCGGGCGGCCCGGGUCCUUCCCGGCGCCCAUCGGCCCUCGCGGGCGCCCGCCGGAGGUAAACCAAACUAUUGCAUUGUAUGGCCUCUCUGAGUCUUCUGUACUGAAUAAGUCAAAACUUUUAACAACGGAUCACAGAUCGGAAGAG